UGACAAAAUGAGUAAUGUUUCGCAAGAUUUGAAUAGAUGCAAGAGAAAAGAUAGAAUCGCUCUACAUCUUCUUAUAACUGUAUUUGGUAUAUCUACUUGGACCGGUAUCAAUGGAAUAUACGUACAAGUACCAGUACUUAUCAAUACCUCUCCGGAAGGCUGGACUUUGCCAGUUUAUCUAGUAUUAGUAAUACAGGCUGCUAAUAUUGGACCUCUGCUUUAUAUGAUUUUACAAUACCUUCGAUGCAAGAUAAACGAAUCUUGGUGGAUAUUGUGUUUGCUAUUUUCAGGAACUUUUGCAAUGGGACUUUUAACGUUUUUCUAUUCGGAAAGAACUGUUAUUAACGGGACAGAGUAUAGCAUGGUAUUAUUUAUUUUAACAUUUUUCAAUGCCCUGGUAGGAUGUUUCAGUUCCGUAUUAUUUAUGCCAUACCUUCGCAAUUUUAACAAAAAUUAUUUGGUAUCGUUUUUCAUAGGUGAAGGAUUAAGUGGUGUAUUACCAAGUAUAGUUGCUCUGAUACAAGGAGUCGGAGACAAUACAGAGUGCGCAACUGAUAAAAAUCAUACAACAAAUUCCUUUAAAUUAGAUUUGAAAUUCUCUCCGAGCGAUUAUUUUCUUUUUAUUUGUAUUAUUUUAUUCUUAUCUCUAACUGCAUUCGUUAUUUUGGAAUAUUCGUCGUUCGUGCGGAAUGUAAAAAGUUUUAAUAAGCCUGUCGAUUGUAUAGCUAAAGUAGAUUGUACAGAUGAUGUAGAAAAUGUGAAACAUUCUUCGUUAAAACGAAAUAGCAAAGACUUAACAAAACAAAUGCGAUAUUAUCUGUUUAUGUUACUUGCUCUCUGUUGCUUUUUUAGUAAUGGUUUCUUUCCCAGCAUACAAUCUUACUCUUGCUUACCAUAUGGAAACAUAGCGUUCAAACUAUCGGUUACAUUUGCUCAAUUUGCAAAUCCAUUUGUAUGUUUAUUAGCAUACCGGUACAUAAUAUCAAACAUAAAAUUUGUCAAUUAUUUAACUGUAGUAUGUUUGUCAAUUGGAAGUUACGUCACGUAUUUAGCAUUAAUGUCUCCUACUCCACCACUGCAAGACACCAAGCUUGGUGUUUUUUUAGUUGUCAUGUCGUGGACAAGCCUGAUAGGAUUUAUUUCUUAUUUGAAAUUAUCCAUUGUGUCGAUAUUUAGAAGUACAAUGCUUCCCAAGAUACUCUUUAAUGUGGGUGCUGUUAUGCAAAUAGGUUCUGCAAGUGGUGCAAUAUUUUCAUUCGUAGUUAUUAACUUUACAAGCUAUUUUAAUGUCUAUGAUAGUUGUGCUUGAAAAAAAUGAUCAAUAUUGUAAAUACGACAUCUUUGCGCGCUUAUAAACGUUCAAACGUGAAGCCAAGAAUACGUGUACUUUUAUAUUGUCUUUGGUACGAGAACUGAUGAUUGAUAUAAUGCUCCGAAUGAAUCCCGCGUUUGAUUCGUUUGUUUGUGUAAAAAAAUGCAACGAUAACAAAUUAUCAAACAAUUGUCGAAUAAAAGAAAUAACAGAGAUGGACAUAUAUAUUUUAUGCGCGUAGAUAUUUUUGUAGCCGUACACGUAUGUGUGAAUUUACGAGCACACAGUAAUACACAAACAAACAAAAAUGCUGAGUGAAUGUUAUGAAAUUAUUUAUAAUAUAUUGACUGCCUUGUCGAUCGAAGCUGGGUAACGCGUGAUUUUUCGCUCGUUUAUGGAUAAAGAUUUUACUUAUCCGAUUUGUUAAAUAUUAUGAAAACGAUUUGACAGAUUUAUCGAAAACAGAAUUGAAAACACAAAGACGAACACGAACACGAACACGGAAUAGUGCAUCCAAACGCAGUAAAUCGUUCUGUUAAAUUACAUAGGCGAAUGGCAUCCAAAAAACCGCGAAUUCACGCGGGAACUUAGUGUGGCAAUCAAACAUGAUAAAAAAAAGUAUUUGAAGAUAAUGUUAUGCCAUCCCAUUAUGAUUACUAUCUUGCUUUAUCUUAAGUACUGCCUUCCAAUAAAAUGUAUGUACUUAAGAUACGCUUGUUACAUAUUUUGAAUCAUUAUUUCUUCAUAAUGGAAUAUGAUAUCCUACAGUUGUCUGUCCGUUAUAAGAUCAAUUAUUGUGAACUCUACGCGAAGCGUGAUAUCAUUCCAAAUAAAUAUAUAAGAGUUUCGAAAAAUUAAUAUUUUCCGUUAACCAUGAAAUUUUUAAUAAACGUUAUAUCAGCGGGGGAAACUUGUUUAAGAAAUGUAAAACGUACGCGAUAUUUUGUAAAUUUGAAACAAUGUUAUAAAGUGAUCUGUGCUUUAAUUAAACGAUUUAUAGUUUAUUUAGACCACGCUGCAGUUAUUCCUUUAUGAUAAAAUUUUAUCACGAAAUUAAUCGAAUUGAAUCAUCCGAUAGCCGCGUAUUUUUUACAAAAAUGAAUUCGUACAUUGCUCAAAGUGGAUUUACGAAUGCAAAAGUAUUAUUUGUUACUCGUAAACGUAAAUAAAAUCGAUUUAAUUUUGUUGCAACACAGAUUAAGACGUCGUCGUUAUCGAAUACGCAUGCGUGAAAAUGGCGACCUAUUAGUCGCACUAAGACCGAGUACAAGGAUUAAAGUAAUAAACAACGUUAGUGAAACAACACUUGUUACUUUUACUUAUUCUACAUUCUAUCGCCGAAUUGUGAGAAGGUUUGAGAAUAAUAUUGUUUAAAAUCGCAACAUUCGGUAGCGAUUAUUCGUAAAUCAAAAUGUGCGACGACGAACAAUGUUGCACGCAAAUUGGUAAAAAGAAAACGAAUUCUCGAUUUACCCUGUUGGAUCUUCCCGUCGAGAUAUUUCUUCAUAUCUGUUCCUUCAAAGAUUAGAAUUCGUAUUCUAUUGUUUCGAAAAUCGAUUCCGACCGUAUAAACAAUAUUUAGCAUAUUUCAUUCAACUGUCAAAUACGCAAAUGUAUUAAAAUGUAUUUAAUAAACAAUAUUGCGUUCAUUGGAUCGAUGAGCUACGAUAAAGUUGAAAUAGUAACAGGUAGUGUUUCGAAACGUGUGUUGAACCAAAACACGUUUGAUGUAUUUCCUUCAAAUAUGUAGAAUUAAUGGGCAUCUAAGCUUCUAUUUAAAGUUUCAUUCAUUCCUGGUUGCCAGCCCUGACUUGGGAGUUGGUUAUUGUGACAUUGUGAGUCAUGCGCGCUCGUGCAAGGCUGUAACGAGCACGAGGACCAAAACGGUAAAUAAUGUCAGUAAAAAACACCCGUUACUUUUAAUCAUUUUCAUUGUACGGUGAAUCACCAAAGGUUUGAGAGUCAGUCGAAUGAUAUUGUUUAAAACUGUGACGUUCGGUACUGGCUAUUUUAAAUUAAAAUGUGCGAUGACGAACAAAGGAGCGCAGAAACCGAGCAUAAUAAAACGAAUUCUCGAUUAUCCUUGUUGGAUCUUCCAGUCGAGAUGAAGAUGAUGAACUGUUUUGGAAAUUAUCGUGCGUCGCGUUGGAAAGACAAUCUUCUAUAUGGAAGGACGUGGAGUCCAUGGAUAGGAUGUCACUUGGUAGUGUACAGUACAGUACCAUCGAUGGCCUG